ACUGUUUUGGCAGAAUUAUGCGUUAGAUUUAGGAUCUAUUAAUGUAAUAAUAUUACAAAUAGUA
rnacentral:tRNA from 1 species